rnacentral:rRNA from 1 species
CAGCAGCCGCGGUAAAACGUAGGGUGCGAGCGUUAAUCGGAAUUACUGGGCGUAAAGCGUGCGCAGGCGGUUCGUUAAGACAGAUGUGAAAUCCCCGGGCUUAACCUGGGAACUGCAUUUGUGACUGGCGAGCUAGAGUAUGGCAGAGGGGGGUAGAAUUCCACGUGUAGCAGUGAAAUGCGUAGAGAUGUGGAGGAAUACCGAUGGCGAAGGCAGCCCCCUGGGCCAAUACUGACGCUCAUGCACGAAAGCGUGGGGAGCAAACAGGAUUAGAUACCCCCGUAGUCCCUGUCUCUUAUAC